AAAAAAUACGGAAAAUAAAAGUUUAGUUGUAUUUAUCACUAAUAUAUAAAGCUGUCACUCUAUAAGAAGAUUUCUAGUUGUUUUCUCAUAUAUAAAAAUAGAUAAGACAUAGAAAUGGCAUGGGGCUUUUUAAUCUGACACUCCCCUAGUUUAAUAACAGGAUGUCACUAGAUGGCGUUCUUCCCUCUAAGGAUUAUGCACUGGUGAUGGGACAGGACUUACUAGAAAUAAACUAUCACAAGAAUAUAUGAUAUGAUUGGUUGUUUUCUACUGAGACUAUGUGGUCACCAUGGUAUUCUCAAAUAGUAGGAGACAAAGGAAGUUUUAACAGCCCUCAGAGAGUUUACAGUGUAGCCAGGAGGGUAAUAGCAGGAAAGAAAACUGUAACAAUCAUUUUUGUUUCUUAUCCCAUUGAAAGACCUCCACAGGGCUGGGGAUGUAGCGCAGCAGCAUUGCACCUGCCUGGCAAGUGCAAGAUUCUGAGUUCCCAAGUGCAAGAUUCUGAGUUCAAUCCCCAGUACCAGAAAAAAAAAAGAAAAGAAAGAAAGCCCUUCACAGACAUUAAAUUUAGACAUCAUCUUAGCAUAUUUAAAAAAUAAGAUGUGGAAGAACAAGAGUAGUGCUGGUCAGAUGAGCUAGGGGAGCCAUCAUUGGAAUGCUCUUCCUGUCCCUGUUGUCUUGGGAUGUAGAUGACAGUAUCUUUCUUUCUAUAGGUCACAUAAUAACAGCAAAUAUCACGGGGGGGGUCAUAUUGUAAAGCUUUAUAUGAAUGCUUUAAACAUAUUACCUAAUAUCCUCACGGUAAUUAGCAGUUUGUUAUGGGCUGGAUCCUAUCCCCCACACCUCCAUUCAUAUGUUGAGCUCCUAGCCUACAGUACCUCAAAAUGUGACUGUAUUUUGAAACAGAACUUUAAAGAAGUGACUGAGUUAAAAUGAGGUCAUCAGGUGGGGCCUAAUCCAGGAUGACUGUGUGUCCUUAUAAAUGAGAUUAGGACACGAAUAGGUAAGAAGAAAGACUGUAAGGAC
rnacentral:lncRNA from 1 species